GUGCCAGCCGCCGCGGUAAUACCUGCAGCUCAAGUGGUGGCCACUAUUAUUGGGCCUAAAACGUCCGUAGCCGGUUUAAUAAAUGCCGGGGUAAAUCGUGUAGCUUAACUAUACGAAUUCCGGGUAGACUGUUAGACUUGAGACCGGGAGAGGCUAGAGGUACUCCUGGGGUAGAGGUGAAAUUCUGUAAUCCUAGGGGGACCACCAGUGGCGAAGGCGUCUAGCUAGAACGGGUCUGACGGUGAGGGACGAAGCCCUGGGGCGCAAACCGGAUUAGAUACCCGGGUAGUCCAGGGUGUAAACGCUGCUUGCUUGAUGUUAGUUGGGCUCCGAGCCCAAUUAGUGUCGGAGAGAAGUUGUUAAGCAAGCUGCCUGGGAAGUACGGCCGCAAGACUGAAACUUAAAGGAAUUGGCGGGGGAGCACAGCAACGGGUGGAGCGUGCGGUUUAAUUGGAUUCAACGCCGGAAAUCUCACCGGAGGCGACGGUUACAUGAAGGCCAGGCUGAUGACUUUGCCUGAUUUUCCGAGAGGUGGUGCAUGGCCGCCGUCAGUUCGUACCGUAAGGCGUUCUGUUAAGUCAGACAACGAACGAGACCCUCAUCUUUGGUUGCUACUGGUAAGUCCGCUUAUCAGGCACACUANAGAAACCGCUGGCGAUAAGUCAGAGGAAGGUGAGGGCAACGGUAGGUCAGUAUGCCCUGAAUCCUCCGGGCUACACGCGC
rnacentral:rRNA from 1 species